rnacentral:rRNA from 1 species
CUUGGCAGCUGGAGGCGAUGAAGGACGUUGGAGCCUGCGAAAAGCUUCGGGGAGUCGGCAACCAGACUUUGAUCCGGAGAUGUCCGAAUGGGGAAACCCACUGGCGCAAGCCAGUAUCCCGUGACUGAAUCCAUAGGUUACGGGAGGCGAACGCGGGGAACUGAAACAUCUAAGUACCUGCAGGAAAAGAAAUCAACCGAGAUUCCCUUAGUAGUGGCGAGCGAACGGGGAAGAGCCCAGCACUUGUAUCGCGUCGUGUCAUAGGAGAAGGGCCUGGAAAGGCCUGCCAUAGUGGGUGAUAGCCCCGUAUCCGAAAUGGCGCGGCGAGUUGAGUGCGAUGAGUAGGCCGGGACACGUGAAAUCCUGGUUGAAGACGGGGGGACCAGUCCUCCAAGGCUAAAUACUCCCAGCUGACCGAUAGUGAACCAGUACCGUGAGGGAAAGGCGAAAAGAACCCCGGAGAGGGGAGUGAAAUAGAUCCUGAAACCGUAUGCGUACAAGCAGUGGGAGCCCCUCGACGGGUGACUGCGUACCUUUGUAUAAUGGG